UACGUAGGGUGCGAGCGUUAAUCGGAAUUACUGGGCGUAAAGCGUGCGCAGGCGGUUUUGUAAGCCAGAUGUGAAAUCCCCGGGCUUAACCUGGGAAUGGCAUUUGGGACUGCAAGGCUCGAGUGCGGCAGAGGAGACUGGAAUUCCUGGUGUAGCAGUGAAAUGCGUAGAUAUCAGGAGGAAUACCGAUGGCGAAGGCAGGUCUCUGGACAUGUAUUGACGCUGAGGUGCGAAAGCGUGGGGAGCAAACAGG
rnacentral:rRNA from 1 species